UUGUUGUUCAAAUUUCAUUUUUAUUAAAAAAAAUCCUAAAUUGAUAAAAUUCAGUUGAUAGAUACAAAGAAUAGGUCUAGGUUGGUUAAGACUAGGUCGAGUACGGUUCAGACUAGGUCGAGUACGGUUCAGACUAGGUCGAGUGCAGUUCAGACUAGGUCGAGUACGGUUCAGACUCGUAUAAAAUGGUUAAGUACUGGUCAAGUACACAUUCAGACUGUUAAGUAUUGUUC
rnacentral:lncRNA from 1 species